GACGAACGCUGGCGGCGUGCCUAAUACAUGCAAGUAGAACGCCGAAGAGAGGAGCUUGCUCUUCUUGGAUGAGUUGCGAACGGGUGAGUAACGCGUAGGUAACCUGCCUUGUAGCGGGGGAUAACUAUUGGAAACGAUAGCUAAUACCGCAUAACAAUGGAUGACACAUGUCAUUUAUUUGAAAGGGGCAAUUGCUCCACUACAAGAUGGACCUGCGUUGUAUUAGCUAGUAGGUGAGGUAAUGGCUCACCUAGGCGACGAUACAUAGCCGACCUGAGAGGGUGAUCGGCCACACUGGGACUGAGACACGGCCCAGACUCCUACGGGAGGCAGCAGUAGGGAAUCUUCGGCAAUGGGGGCAACCCUGACCGAGCAACGCCGCGUGAGUGAAGAAGGUUUUCGGAUCGUAAAGCUCUGUUGUAAGUCAAGAACGGGUGUGAGAGUGGAAAGUUCACACUGUGACGGUAGCUUACCAGAAAGGGACGGCUAACUACGUGCCAGCAGCCGCGGUAAUACGUAGGUCCCGAGCGUUGUCCGGAUUUUUGGGCGUAAAGCGAGCGCAGGCGGUUUGAUAAGUCUGAAGUUAAGGCUGUGGCUCAACCAUAGUUCGCUUUGGAAACUGUCAAACUUGAGUGCAGAAGGGGAGAGUGGAAUUCCAUGUGUAGCGGUGAAAUGCGUAGAUAUAUGGAGGAACACCGGUGGCGAAAGCGGCUCUCUGGUCUGUAACUGACGCUGAGGCUCGAAAGCGUGGGGAGCGAACAGGAUUAGAUACCCUGGUAGUCCACGCCGUAAACGAUGAGUGCUAGGUGUUGGAUCCUUUCCGGGAUUCAGUGCCGCAGCUAACGCAUUAAGCACUCCGCCUGGGGAGUACGACCGCAAGGUCGAAACUCAAAGGAAUUGACGGGGGCCCGCACAAGCGGUGGAGCAUGUGGUUUAAUUCGAAGCAACGCGAAGAACCUUACCAGGUCUUGACACCCCGAUGCUAUUUCUAGAGAUAGAAAGUUACUUCGGUACAUCGGUGACAGGUGGUGCAUGGUUGUCGUCAGCUCGUGUCGUGAGAUGUUGGGUUAAGUCCCGCAACGAGCGCAACCCCUAUUGUUAGUUGCCAUCAUUCAGUUGGGCACUCUAGCGAGACUGCCGGUAAUAAACCGGAGGAAGGUGGGGAUGACGUCAAAUCAUCAUGCCCCUUAUGACCUGGGCUACACACGUGCUACAAUGGUUGGUACAACGAGUUGCGAGUCGGUGACGGCGAGCUAAUCUCUUAAAGCCAAUCUCAGUUCGGAUUGUAGGCUGCAACUCGCCUACAUGAAGUCGGAAUCGCUAGUAAUCGCGGAUCAGCACGCCGCGGUGAAUACGUUCCCGGGCCU
rnacentral:rRNA from 1 species